rnacentral:rRNA from 1 species
GAUGAACGCUGACAGAAUGCUUAACACAUGCAAGUCGAUGGGGAAGUGGUGCUUGCACCCUGGUAACCAUGGCGGACGGGUGAGUAACGCGUAAGGAACUUGCCUGCGGGACUGGGAUAACAGCAGGAAACUGCUGAUAAUACCGGAUAAGGUCAUUAAGCUGCAUAGCUUAGUGAUGAAAGGAGACGCCUGCGGAGAGCCUUGCGUCCUAUUAGCUAGUUGGAGGGGUAACGGCCCACCAAGGCGAAGAUAGGUAGCCGGCCUGAGAGGGUGGACGGCCACAAGGGGACUGAGAUACGGCCAUUACUCCUACGGGAGGCAGCAGUGGGGAAUAUUGGACAAUGGGGGCAACCCUGAUCCAGCAAUUCUGUGUGCACGAAGACGGUUUUCGGAUUGUAAAGUGCUUUCAGCAGGGAAGAAGGAAGUGACGGUACCUGCAGAAGAAGCGACGGCUAAAUACGUG